rnacentral:tRNA from 1 species
GGGGUUGUAGCUCAGUGGUAGAGUGCCCAUCUAGCAUGUGUGAGUCCCUGGGUUCGAUUCUCAGCACCA